rfam:Nitrincola nitratireducens strain AK23 contig000013, whole genome shotgun sequence.
UGUCUCCUAGGAUGUUCGAGAGUUGGUUAAGUCCCUCGAGCCUAUAAAUUCCUACUUGGCGGUGUUACUUUGGUGUUGUGUGCAUGUCCGAACUUUCGGAAAGCCUAAUACGCCAGAUAAUGCCUCCACUCUGAACCUCACGGUUCAGGGCCACAAUCAAUAUCGGCAUUCUGGGAGAUCC